GGGAAUGUCUUGGUAUCGACAGGGAUAGUUUGAGCUUAUAUGGCGAGCCGAGUUGACGAUCUCGUACAAACGUUAAAGCCUAUAACUGGCAAACAACAAAACAACUUCGCUUUCGCUGCUUAAUAGCAGACGUUAGCGGUUCCACCCUCCAUCGUCCAUGUGGUAGGGGAAGGGACUCAUUCUAAGUGGACUACGCCGAAUUCCUUUCGUCUGUAGGAUGAAGGAAGAGAAUAAUCAGACUAGCCGCUUCCAUGCCUGUCAGUAAGCUAAAGAAGUAGGCGAAAUUAAUUUUACUGACUACGCUGGUAGAUGUAUAAGUGCCAAUAUCUUUGCACACGGGUUCAACUCCCGUCAUUUCCACUA
rnacentral:sRNA from 1 species